AAUAGAUACCCGGGUAGUCCACGCCGUAAACGAUGGAUGCUAGCUGUUAGAAGUAUCGACCCUUCUAGUAGCGAAGCUAACGCGUUAAGCAUCCCGCCUGUGGAGUACGGUCGCAAGACUAAAACAUAAAGGAAUUGACGGGGACCCGCACAAGCGGUGGAGCGUGUUCUUUAAUUCGAAGGUAAGCGAAGAACCUUACCAAGGCUUGACAUCCUGCGAAGGCAUCCGAAAGGAUACUGUGCCCUCGGGAACGCAGUGACAGGUGUUGCAUGGCCGUCGUCAGCUCGUGUCGUGAGAUGUUUGGUUAAGUCCAUUCAACGAGCGCAACCCUUUUAUUCAGUUGGAUUUUUCUGAAUAGACUGCCCCGGUAACGGGGAGGAAGGAGGGGAUGAUGUCAGGUCAGUAUUACCCUUAGGCCUUGGGGCUAGAAACACGCUACAAUGGCCGGUACAAAGGGUCAGCCAAGUCGCGAGACGGAGCAAAUCCCAUCAAAGCCGGUCCCAGUUCGGAUAGGAGGCUGAAACUCGCCUCCUUGAAGUCGGAAUCGCUAGUAACGGUG
rnacentral:rRNA from 1 species